CCUUCCAUGCCUCUCAUAGAAGCACAAACAGGAAGGU
rnacentral:ncRNA from 1 species